rnacentral:rRNA from 1 species
CGAAAGCCUGACGGAGCAACGCCGCGUGAGGGAUGAAGGCCUCUGGGCUGUAAACCUCUUUUCUCAAGGAAGAAGAACUGACGGUACUUGAGGAAUAAGCCACGGCUAAUUCCGUGCCAGCAGCCGCGGUAAUACGGGAGUGGCAAGCGUUAUCCGGAAUUAUUGGGCGUAAAGCGUCCGCAGGCGGCCUCGUAAGUCUGUCGUUAAAGCGUGGAGCUUAACUCCAUUUAAGCGAAGGAAACUGUGAGGCUUGAGUGUGGUAGGGGCAGAGGGAAUUCCCGGUGUAGCGGUGAAAUGCGUAGAUAUCGGGAAGAACACCAGUGGCGAAGGCGCUCUGCUGGGCCAUAACUGACGCUCAUGGACGAAAGCCAGGGGAGCG